rnacentral:rRNA from 1 species
CCUACGGGAGACAGCAGUGGGGGAUAUUGCACAAUGGGGGAAACCCUGAUGCAGCGACGCCGCGUGGGUGAAGAAGCGCCUCGGCGCGUAAAGCCCUGUCAGCAGGGAAGAAAAUGACGGUACCUGAAGAAGAAGCCCCGGCUAACUACGUGCCAGCAGCCGCGGUAAUACGUAGGGGGCAAGCGUUAUCCGGAUUUACUGGGUGUAAAGGGGGCGCAGACGGCGAUGCAAGCCAGGAGUGAAAGUCCGGGGCCCAACCCCGGGACUGCUCUUGGAACUGCGUGGCUAGAGUGCAGGAGGGGCAGGCGGAAUGCGUGGUGUAGCGGUGAAAUGCGUAGAUAUCAGGAGGAACACCGGUGGCGAAGGCGGCCUGCUGGACUGCAACUGACGUUGAGGCCCGAAAGCGUGGGGAGCAAACAGGAUUAGAUACCCUUGUAGUC